rnacentral:rRNA from 1 species
UCUGACGGAGCACGCCGCGUGAGCGAUGAAGGCCUUCGGGUCGUAAAGCUCUGUUGUUAGGGAAGAACAAGUGCUAGUUGAAUAAGCUGGCACCUUGACGGUACCUAACCAGAAAGCCACGGCUAACUACGUGCCAGCAGCCGCGGUAAUACGUAGGUGGCAAGCGUUAUCCGGAAUUAUUGGGCGUAAAGCGCGCGCAGGUGGUUUCUUAAGUCUGAUGUGAAAGCCCACGGCUCAACCGUGGAGGGUCAUUGGAAACUGGGAGACUUGAGUGCAGAAGAGGAAAGUGGAAUUCCAUGUGUAGCGGUGAAAUGCGUAGAGAUAUGGAGGAACACCAGUGGCGAAGGCGACUUUCUGGUCUGCAACUGACACUGAGGCGCGAAAGCGUGGGGAGCAAACAGGAUUAGAUACCCUGGUAGUCCACGCCGUAAACGAUGAGUGCUAAGUGUUAGAGGGUUUCCGCCCUUUAGUGCUGAAGUUAACGCAUUAAGCACUCCC